CAUUGAAAACAUUGAGGAAGAACAAAGAUCAUCUCUAUCUUACAGAUAAAAACCAUAAGUCAUAUUUACUAAGCAGUUACUACGCACUAGACACACUUCUAAAUACUUUACAUGUAACCAUGCAUUUAAUUCUCACAAGAAGCCCACAAAAUAGAUAUGAUUAGCCCCAAUUUAUAGGGAAGAAAACUAUUUUUAAUCACAGCAAAUCUGUAGGCCUUUUAAAACUGGAAAUUACAAUUAAACAUAUCCAAAUGGCAUAAUUGGAAUGCAUAUUUUAUGUUUUAAGAAAUCGAAGCUCUCACUAUUAGGAGGUUGAUCACAUCUUAAAGCUUGGUGACCUCAUAAUAUUUUGCUUGACUAAAAAGUGGACUUUAUAAUCUAACAAAAAGAUCCAUGUUACCCUCAUACACCAGUCCUAUCCCCCAGUCUUAUCAUGUGACCCAGGCUAUCCAGUAUCCAGGUUCUGACCCCAUGUGGAGGGAUUCUUUGCACUAAUGCCUGUGUGAAGGUGGGGCUUUCUAUUAUAUAAGGUGCCAACCACUAUCACCACUUUUGGGGACUGGUACCAUCUUUGAUGUUCAUGUGGUUAUUUUUAUUGUCACUUUUGCAUUGACAGAAUCCAGUAGAAGGCAUGGCCAUGUAUAUCAAUACAUUGCAGCCAUACCAGGAAUAUACUUUUAUUUUGUUGUUCUCUACACUAAUCAAAAUAAGUUUCAUCUUUAAUCAUAGUAGCCUACACACAUAUCCCACUUACUAAGUGCCAAGAGCUGUUGCUGACAACAACCCUACAAGGUGCAGGUACUGUUGUCAUCUCAUUUUACAGAUGAUGAAAAUAAGGCAGAGAGAAUGAAGAGAUUUUCCCAAGGUUACUUGGCUCAGAAAGGACAGGGCCAUGAUGUCAACGAGAUAUUGCAGAGCCUAUAUUCUUAACUGCCACACUAUAUGCCUUAUUAUAUAGGAAGAAUGAGGCACAUAGAGUCUCCUGAUCAGCCAAAACAACUAGGUUCUGUCAGCUAGUCAGUGAUGAAACCUAGAACCAAGGUCCAUGUCUGGCUGGCACUGAAUCCAGUACUCUUUCUACUAC